rnacentral:rRNA from 1 species
GACGAACGCUGGCGGCGUGCUUAACACAUGCAAGUCGAACGGAAAGGCCCUGCUUUUGUGGGGUUCUCGAGUGGCGAACGGGUGAGUAACACGUGAGUAACCUGCCCUUGACUUUGGGAUAACUUCAGGAAACUGGGGCUAAUACCGGAUAUGAGCUCCUGCUGCAUGGUGGGGGUUGGUAAGUUUCGGCGGUUGUGGAUGUACUCGCUGCUUAUCAGCUUGUUUGUGGGGUAGUGGCUUACCAAGGCUUUGACGGGUAGCCGGCCUGAGAGGGUGACCGGCCACAAUGGGACUGAGAUAGGGACCAGACUCCUACGGGAGGCAGCAGUGGGGAAUAUUGCACAAUGGGCGGAAGCCUGAUGCAGAAACGCCGCGUGCGGGAUGACGGCCUUCGGGUUGUAAACAGAUUUCGAAUGUGACGAAGAGUGAGUGACGGUAAUGGGUAAAGAAGCACCGGCUAACUACGUG